rfam:Oryza glumipatula chromosome 11, whole genome shotgun sequence.
AAUAAGUGCAGUUUUAUACUGUUCAUGUCUAACGUUUGACCGUUCGUCUUAUUUGAAAAUUUUUUACGAUUAAUAUUUUUAUUGUUAUUAGAUAAUAAAACAUGAAUAGUAUUUUAUGUGUAACUAACUUUUUUUAAUUUUCUUAUAAAUUUUUUAAAUAAGACGGACGGUCAAACAUUGGACACGAAUUCCCACGGCUAUACUUAUU